UACGGAGGGUGCAAGCGUUAAUCGGAAUUACUGGGCGUAAAGCGCACGCAGGUGGCUGAGUCAGUCGAUUGUGAAAGCCCUGGGCUUAACCUGGGAAUUGCAGUCGAUACUACUCAGCUAGAGUAUGGGAGAGGGUAGUGGAAUUCCCGGUGUAGCGGUGAAAUGCGUAGAUAUCGGAAGGAACAUCAGUGGCGAAGGCGGCUUUCUGGACAGAUACUGACACUGAGGCACGAAAGCGUGGGGAGCAAACAGG
rnacentral:rRNA from 1 species